UGAAGACGUUACUUUUCUUGUAACGCAAGCCAGAUGGAAAGUUCAGCGGGAAACAAUGUAUAACAUCGCAUUCAUUGUUUUCUUCCAAAAUACGAUGGUUGAGAAAUGUAUCACCGUAGUAGCGCUGCCUCCGAUUAGCAGAUUUCGACUGACAAGGAGGGUCACUAGAUUUUGGUGCCGACCAGUGCCAUAGCCGAAAAUAUUUUAAUGCGAGAGGGGGCAACGUGAAGGGCAUCACAGCAGCAGCCGAAACUCUUUCCGUAUAUAAUACUUUCAUUCGGCUAUCUUGACAUGUAAUAAAGUAAAAGAUUCAACCUGGUC